rnacentral:rRNA from 1 species
GACGAACGCUGGCGGCGUGCUUAACACAUGCAAGUCGAACGGAAAGACCCUGCUUUUGUGGGGUGCUCGAGUGGCGAACGGGUGAGUAACACGUGAGUAACCUGCCCUUGACUUUGGGAUAACUUCAGGAAACUGGGGCUAAUACCGGAUAGGAGCUCCUGCUGCAUGGUGGGGGUUGGAAAGUUUCGGCGGUUGGGGAUGGACUCGCGGCUUAUCAGCUUGUUGGUGGGGUAGUGGCUUACCAAGGCUUUGACGGGUAGCCGGCCUGAGCGGGUGACCGGCCACAUUGGGACUGAGAUACGGCCCAGACUCCUACGGGAGGCAGCAGUGGGGAAUAUUGCACAAUGGGCGGAAGCCUGAUGCAGCAACGCCGCGUGCGGGAUGACGGCCUUCGGGUUGUAAACCGCUUUCGCCUGUGACGAAGCGUGAGUGACGGUAAUGGGUAAAGAAGCACCGGCUAACUACGUG